rnacentral:rRNA from 1 species
ACAUGCCUACAACAUAGCGUUAAUGCACCAGAUCCCAUUAGAACUCCGCAGUUAAGCACACUCAGGCUAGAGUAGUACUGAGAUGGGUGACCACCCGAGAAAUCCUAGUGUUUUACAUGCC